GACGAACGCUGGCGGCGUGCUUAACACAUGCGAGUCGAACGGAAAGGCCCUGCUUUUGUGGGGUGCUCGAGUGGCGAACGGGUGAGUAACACGUGAGUAACCUGCCCUUGACUUUGGGAUAACUUCAGGAAACUGGGGCUAAUACCGGAUAGGAGCUCCUGCUGCAUGGUGGGGGUUGGAAAGUUUCGGCGGUUGGGGAUGGACUCGCGGCUUAUCAGCUUGUUGGUGGGGUAGUGGCUUACCAAGGCUUUGACGGGUAGCCGGCCUGAGAGGGUGACCGGCCACAUUGGGACUGAGAUACGGCCCAGACUCCUACGGGAGGCAGCAGUGGGGAAUAUUGCAUAAUGGGCGGAAGCCUGAUGCAGCAACGCCGCGUGCGGGAUGACGGCCUUCGGGUUGUAAACCGCUUUCGCCUGUGACGAAGCGUGAGUGACGGUAAUGGGUAAAGAAGCACCGGCUAACUACGUG
rnacentral:rRNA from 1 species